GGAGUCGGCCAGGCAGUCGCUUCGUCCGUUCGCGGGCGGGGAGGAAAGUCCGGGCUCCACUGGGCAAAGGCGCCGGGUAAUCCCCGGGCGGCGCGAGCCGACGGAAAGUGCCACAGAAAAUAUACCGCCGCGCGUCCAUCCUUUUGCCGCCGCCGCAUGACCGCGGCCGGCAGCCGGAUGGGCGCGCGGUAAGGGUGAAAUGGUGCGGUAAGAGCGCACCGCGCCGCUGGCAACAGCGGCGGCAGGGCAAACCCCGCCUGGAGCAAGACCGAAUAGGGACCCGAUGCGCGCCCUCGCGGGGUCCGGGUAGGUUGCACGAGGCAUUCGGUGACGGAUGUCCCAGAUGAAUGACUGUCCACGACAGAACCCGGCUUAUCGGCCGACUCCCGCU
rnacentral:RNase_P_RNA from 1 species